rnacentral:misc_RNA from 1 species
GUAAUAUAAAAGCUAGAUCUCCACUCUUAUCAUUGAUUGUGAUGGAUACAGAAGGAUUAACAACAUAUGUGCACACAGGAAAAUCAUGAAGAUGACUUCCUAUUAAACUGAACAAACAAUUCAUCUCUUUACAUCUCAAUCAGUUCCAAUCCAUCAAAAAAGCAUUCUGGUGGAUUCACUUUAAAGCCCCACUUUUGGAGCCUCUCUUAACAUCCAGUAAAGGGAGGUGGAACAUGGGCGGUGACGAAAAUUUUAUUGGGAUUUAGAGGCAAGUACCUUUAACUUUUUUCUUUAGCAAUACCAUAGACAGCUGAAAGAACAGGAACACAAUUAUCCUUGUGGUAAAAGUAUGUCUCGUUUUACAGCUUCCAUUACAUUUGUUCUUUGGGAUGUAUAGGGGAGAGUGAGUAGAAAAACUAGGAGUGUCAAUUAUGCAAACUAGCCCUAUUUGUAGUAAACCAAAGCUUAGUCACACAUAAGCCAAUGGAAGACAUGAGGGCAGAAGUGUAAGCACCUCAGUGUCUUACUUUUGACUAUCAUCAGUUAAAAUGUCAGGGACUACUUACAAGAAGCUAAUUUUCAUCGCCUGCUUGAAGAAUUUGACGUAAUGCAGCUGUAUUGUCCUUGUGACAUUUGGGACAUACCGACCUCCUCUGUAGCUCAUCUCCAAGGGAAGCACAUUUGUUUUCCAAUUCAGAAGUCUGCUUACUUCCAGUCAAGGACACAACGAUUGUUGACAAAUCUAAAGCAAGGGUGCCGAUUUCAUAUGUAUUUUUU